rnacentral:lncRNA from 1 species
GAGAUUGAUGCAUAGUUCACCUCUCUUGUGGACAGAUAAGUCUCAGAUCUGUAGUAUAGGGACACUGGAGUGAGGGUAUGGAUGGUUGUUAGAGAAUAACUUACAUUAAAUAUGACCAACAUGAGAAAUCACUUGGAUGUCUACUCACUCAUCAGUGGCCUUCUCAAUACUGCAGUGGUGUGAGUGAUCCUUUGACCUGUGUGUCAUCAGCUAUUCAUAGUGAGGCUACUGAGUUUGACUGCAUGUUCUCUUGGUCUCUAGUCAUUCGGAUCUUUAUUGUGUAUGUUGGUUUCAGUAGGUUCAAGUUCGCUGUUUGGAGUAAGAUACAUCUAGAUGGAAUAUAUCGAUCUUGAUAGGAAAAGAGAAGUUCUAUGCAAUUUAUGAGACUGAGUUUAGAAAAUUUUUGAUCAAAAUAAGUGUGAAUACUGAAAAAGAGUUUUCAUAGGAUUCACAAAUGAACUCGAGUCGAGCCAAUCUUAUAUAUGAUUGAUGAUGGGGUCUAACGAGUUCUCCAUGACCUCCGUUAAAUCGAAACUCAUGAUAGAAAAAUUGAAUCAGACGAUAACUGCACCUUAGGGUUUACGUUUUCAUUCUGGUGGGCUGCCAGUACAUAUUGCUAAGUGUCAUUGAUGGAUUGUGGGACUCAUCGGGUGUCACCUUGAUGAUCGAUGACCCUCGAAGGAUAGAGUUAAAAUUUUUCAAUCCAUUGAAAUGAGUUUCAAUAAUAUUGUGAUGGAGAUCAUAAUAUAUCUUACUACCAGACAGAAUAGAACCUAUGGGGUCACAUAUAAAAGAGAUUCUUUUCCAAUCAGAUGGCUAAUCGAUGAUUAUGAAUUAUUGAAGGAUAAAAUUAUCAAUUUGAUUGAUGAUUAAUCUUGUGCAAAAAUUAUAAUUAAAAAAUUUACUGUGUUAGUAAAUCAUAGAAAGAUUAAUUAGUAAUUAGAUUACUAAUUGGCUUAAUUUGAUUGAGCAAUUGAGAUUCGGAUCAAGUCUAAUUGAAUUGGAUUCAAUUUGACUAGGGUUGAUUUUGAUUAGAUCGAGCCUAAUUACGAGGGAGAUUAAUUCUUGAUUUGAUCAAGACUUGGGUUCAGUUAAUUUUUAAUAAGAUUAAGAUUUAAUUGAGAAUAUUGGGUUUCUAAUUUGAUUAGAUUCUUCUUUCUUAUUUGGAUCAAAUCGAAUCAAAUUUGAUUUAAUUCAAAUUUGGAAACCCUAGAGUCCAUUGGAGCUGGGACUUUCUUUCCACUACCCCCGCUUUGGUUUCGCACCCAUAUUCCAUGAUAAAAAGUGUUUUGGUGUGAAAAAUUUUGAGCAUGAGGUUUUAGGUGCAGAUAUGAGAGGAGAGGAUGUUUUGGCAGGUAUUUGGUUGAUGACUCAUCCACCUUAUCUCUUGAUCUUAUUCCUAGUUUGAAUUUGAUUCAAAUCAAGGAUAGAGAUAAGAAGGGAAUCUAAUUUCUUUUUUACAACAACAAGAUGGUGCCAACAACCAAAUUCCUCCCAUGGGCAUGAAAAAAUAUGGGUGUGAGAAAUCAGAUCUGAUUUCUCACGCCAAUACUUGAAACAUUUUAAUGCCAAAAUUAUUUUGGUGUGUGAAAGUGUGGCACCCUCUCUCCCAAGAAACCCUAGUUCUCCCUCGUAUAAAUAGGGACUAAUUCUAGACCCUAUGGUGGUGUGAAAUAUUAGAAAAAAUUUAGAGAAAAAUAUUCUAAAAAAUUUGAGUCUUCUUCCUCCUCUUCCUCCCCAUUCUCCCUAGUUCUUAAGAGAGUCUGUGAGAUCUGUAAAAGAACAAUCUCAGCCAUCAAAGAAGAGUCUUCUGUAAGGGAGCUAGCACCCCAGUGAAGACACCUAUCUCUAAUUAGAAUGAGUUCUCAUGUGGAUACCUGUGG